UCGAAAAGCGCUGGCGUUCGCGCGCCCCUCGAGCUGGAGGUAAACACUGACACGUGGGAGGCGAGGAGACGGCGGCGGCAGCUGCGAGUUGAUGGCAGGUCGCUGGAAAAUCUUACGGCUCGUUAUGCAGUCGGUGAAAAAAAAGGAUGAUUGACACCAUUGCAUCUGACGUCACACUCUGGAGUUUGCCCAUCUGGACCUGCAACUUCCUCUCAGAACUCCUUAAAUACAGAAGAGCCGAGUGUACCUUAGAUGGAAGUCGGGAAGACUCGAUUUGUCAUUAUAACACGUGAUUUUUUUUUUUGUUUUCAUUCCUUGUUGAGAAUUAUACGGGGGUGGCCACAAGGUGCCUCAAAAGUCUAACUUUGCCUUGUUGUUACUUUUACAUUAGUUGUAACUCAGAACUGGGGCUUCUGCAACUACGUAGGCCUCCAUUUGUCCUCACCAUGGCCUGCUAUCGUGAAGUCAGUCAGGAACAUUCUGUAUAUCCAGUACUGUAGAAGUCUAUUUGUAUUGACCAUGAUGAUCUAGUGGGGAUGUAUUACUAUUGCAGAGAAUCACACUUCAGAUAUCCAGAUGAGGGGAUGAUCGGGUUUUUCACAUUCUUUGUCCUGUUGAACUCAUACAAGUGUCCACCAUGUGUGGUUUAGAAAAAAAUGACAUAAGCCAGGAAUUUUCCACAGAUAUCUCUUCAUAAAAGUAUAUGAAAAUAAAGCAUUUACCUGAGAUAUUCACAAUCAGUUAAUCAGAAAUGAGUACAUAGUGCAUCUGUAGAGUCUGCACUUCAAAGCAGCUGUCCACCUCAGAUAAGGAGACUUCAAUUGGGUCAUUCAUAUUGGGAACAUAACACACCUAACAUUUUUUUCUUCUCAUAUUUUUGCAUUGCUGUAAACAUCUUAAACACAAAGCAUACUUCUGUUGUCCCAUAACAGUUCAGGCUGUAAAGAAGGCACGCCAGACCCCCUGGACUUUUACACCUCCUUCAUAUGCAUCAUGGCUGCAUAACUGGGCUGUUUUUGUGGUCACCAGGAUUGUGGCUCCUUCUUCAGUAGCUGGGAGAGGCAAACAGCGUGGAUACUGAAGUGUCCUGUCCAUUUGCUCCUCCCUUGGGGCGACAGUGACUUCGUUAACAGCAGAGACGUUUUCCUCAUCAAAUUUCUCAUCGCAGCAUCCAGUCUCCAUAGUGGCUUCUGCGUACCUUGUGUCGGCAUUCCCGGUUUCUGCUGACUGUUCCCUUCCCGGCUCUGGAAAGCAAACCACAGGAAAGAAAUGAAUUUGUUCUCGUUGUUCUGUUUUGAGUGCCAGCAUGGUGGUGUGCAGUCUUGUGUAACAGUAUCAGAAAUGUUGUAAGUCACCUUCGAAUAAAGGUGUCAGCCAAAUCAGUAAAUGUAAA